GGGAGCAUCUUCUGGGGACCUGGUUGACAGCGUUACCCCAUGCAGCACAUGUUUGACCGCGAGGUUCACCGUGCGUCCGGCGUUCUGCUACGGUGCAUCAAGAAUUAUCCUCCAUGCACCGCGAGGCCAGGCAGAGUAAUAUCAGAUGAAAUAAAUGUUGUGUCCUCCCGUUUGAUCCAAUCUGAGGGUCUGAAGGCAUCAGAGACUCACAGUUGACACCAUCCUGCGCGGAUAACUGUCAGGCGUCUGAGGUAAUGCGUUCCUCGGCCCUCCAUCGGAAUUCCUGCCGCCGCUGGAGCAGGGCCGCCCCGUCCCAGUAAGAUCACGGAUCAGUCAGCGCCGUCCACGGCCUUCGAACAGCUGCUCUCAGCCAAGACGGGCUCACCUGUAGCACAUGACGGGCGGGGUCCGCGUCUCUCCAGAGCAGCCUGUCAUCAAAGGGCGAGAGAGGAGAAGAGGGUGCUGUUGUCACUGAGGCAGAGGCGUGUUGGAGCCCGGAUGGUCUGGUUGGCGGAGUCCCCCUUGUGGAGUCGGACGGGCCCCUGUCUGAGGCGACCCAGUGCAGAGGCGUGUGGGAGCCCGGAUGGUCUGGUUGGCGGAGUCCCCCUUGUGGAGUCGGACGGGCCCCUGUCUGAUCAAAGGCCAAGGUCGGCAGGGUCGAUGUUUCUGGAGCACGCAAGGCAGGGUGGCGCUUUAUGGGCAGGGGGAUUAAACAUGACCUUCGAGAGUUACUGCAAAGAAAGAGAUAUCAUUCUGCUUCACAUUAGUACUGGUUUCCACAUCAGGAAACAAACAAAAAUCUAGUCACAGUUACAAUUAUGGCCAUACAUCUCUGGUUUUUUAUGAUUAUACUAUAUUCAGUAGUACUUAAAUGUAUUUUUCUGGGGUGAAAGUUAUUGUACCAAGUGAGGACAAAUUUUUGCCCACAACCUUUCCUCUGGAUUAAUAAUAAAUUUAUAGUAAAAUCCCUGCGUUUGGUUGGUGCCCCAUGCUGGGUUAUUCCAUGCCUUGCACCCAUAGCUUCCAGGAUAGACUCCAGACCUCCGUGACCCUGAAUAGAGAAUGUAUGGAU